CUUUUCACUGGUUAAAUAUUUCUAAAACUGUCAGGCUAACAUGAAGACUGACCAAUAGAAUUGUUUUAUGACCGAAAAUGGACUUAAGAGGUUUCCGCCUGACAGCAACGACAUACAAAAUUUACAA